CCUAAGUGGGUGGUAAACUCCAUCUAAGGCUAAAUACAACCACGAGACCGAUAGCACACAAGUACCGUGAGGGAAAGGUGAAAAGAACUUUGAAGAGAGAGUUCAAGAGUACGUGAAACUGAGGUGGUGUAAACGGACGAGAUCGAAAAGUCCGAAUGGGGAGAUUCAAGCCUAUCCGUGCCGGUGGCUGUUGGGUUCAGAUGGUGCGGUCGGGUAGGGGCUCUCGGGCCGCCUGCUUUGCUCCGUAUUCACUCGUCCCGGCGGUAUCUGUCUGGUGCGGUGGGCUGCACUUCUCCCCUAGUAGGACGUCGCGACCCGUUGGGAGGUUCCGAUCAUAUGGCCCGCGGUGGAGCCCACGCCGGAGCGCAGGCUUGUCUUGCGUUGCUGUGCAUGGACCCGUGGUGACCUGAUCGGCGCCCGACGGUAUCAAACCUUGGGAAGGAACCGCACAGAGGAUGCGUCCGACGCCCGCAUCGGGCUACGCUCGGACAGGUUCGCACCCGGUCAGCGGCGCUACUGCUUUCGAUACUCGUCCGA
rnacentral:rRNA from 1 species